CCUACGGGGGACAGCAGUAGGGAAUCUUCCACAAUGGGCGAAAGCCUGAUGGAGCAACGCCGCGUGGGUGAAGAAGGUCUUCGGAUCGUAAAACCCUGUUGUUAGAGAAGAAAGUGCGUGAGAGUAACUGUUCACGUUUCGACGGUAUCUAACCAGAAAGCCACGGCUAACUACGUGCCAGCAGCCGCGGUAAUACGUAGGUGGCAAGCGUUAUCCGGAUUUAUUGGGCGUAAAGGGAACGCAGGCGGUCUUUUAAGUCUGAUGUGAAAGCCUUCGGCUUAACCGGAGUAGUGCAUUGGAAACUGGGAGACGUGAGUGCAGGAGAGGAGAGUGGAACUCCAUGUGUAGCGGUGAAAUGCGUAGAUAUAUGGAAGAACACCAGUGGCGAAAGCGGCUCUCUGGUCUGUAACUGACGCUGAGGUUCGAAAGCGUGGGUAGCAAACAGGAUUAGAUACCCCUGUAGUC
rnacentral:rRNA from 1 species